rnacentral:rRNA from 1 species
GACGAACGCUGGCGGCGUGCUUAAUACAUGCAAGUCGAACGGAAAGGCCCUGCUUUUGUGGGGUGCUCGAGUGGCGAACGGGUGAGUAACACGUGUGUAACCUGCCCUUGACUUUGGGAUAACUUCAGGAAACUGGGGCUAAUACCGGAUAGGAGCUCCUGCUGCAUGUUGGGGGUUGGAAAGUUUCGGCGGUUGGGGAUAGACUCGCGGCUUAUGAGCUUGUUGGUGGGGUAGUGGCUUACCAAGGCUUUGACGGGUAGCCGGCCUGAGAGGGGUGCCGGCCACAUUGGGACUGAGGUACGGACCAGACUCCUACGGGAGGCAGCAGUGGAGAGUAUUGCACAAUGGGCGGAAGCCUGAUACAGCAACGCCGCGUGCGGGAUAACGGCCUUCGAGUUGUAAACCGCUUUCGCCUGUGACGAAGCGUGAGUGACGGUAAUGGGUAAAGAAGCACCGGCUAACUACGUG